rnacentral:tRNA from 1 species
AAAGAAAUAAAUCAAGAAGCUUCUAACUUCAUAAAGAGCAGAUAAUUUGUUCUU